rnacentral:lncRNA from 1 species
CACGCGGAGGGCGCUGGGGAAGCGCCGCCGGGGGCUCUGGGGACCCGCGUGGGGCGCAGUCUAGGCGGAGGCCAGCGCAGAUGCCCAGUCACGAUUCCGUGAGCAUUCGCCCCCACCGACGACGUGAGAUUUCUGCUCUUUGGCGAUUGUCACUGAUUUCACCUGCGUUAAAAAGGCUGUCAGGAGAGUAGGCCCUGGGACUUCCCAAAGAAGGGACCAAGCUGUACUCCCCCUUCUUCUCUGACCUUUUCAUAAGGACCAAGAGUUGGACUGGCAACACAGUGAAAAGGGUGAACCAAAAGUCACCAAUUUACCUGUGAGAAUAAAGGUCCACAUCCAAAGCAAGUGUACAUAAAUUAACUGGUUAUUUAACAUGGCACUGAAUGAGCUGUAAAAGGUCAGAAGAAGCCAUCCUGAAGAAACAGCUAAAUAAGUCAUUAAAUUUCUUUAUAUAUCAUGAAAUUAAACACAA